rnacentral:rRNA from 1 species
UUUCCGGUUGAUCCUGCGGAGGGCAUUGCUAUCGGAGUCCGAUUUAAGCCAUGCUAGUCGAGCGAGGUUAGCCCUCGCGGCGAACAGCUCAGUAACACGUGGCCAAGCUACCCUGCAGAGGGGGACAGCGUCGGGAAACUGACGGGAAUCCCCCAUACCGGUCUCACGCUGGAAUGCCGAGACCGACAAACGCUCCGGCGCUGCAGGAUGCGGCUGCGGCCGAUUAGGUAGUCGGUGGGGUAACGGCCCACCGAGCCGAUAAUUGGUACGGGGUGUGAGAGCACGAGCCCGGAGACGGAAUCUGAGACAAGAUUCCGGGCCCUACGGGGCGCAGCAGGCGCGAAACCUUUACACUGCACGCCAGUGCGAUAAGGGGACUCCAAGUGCGAGGGCAUAUCGUCCUCGCUAUCCUGUACUGUAGGGUAGUACAGUAUCAAGAGCUGGGCAAGACCGGUGCCAGCCGCCGCGGUAAUACCGGCAGCUCGAGUGAUGGCCGAUCUUAUUGGGCCUAAAGCGUCCGUAGCUGGCCCUGCAAGUCCGUCGGGAAAUCCACUCGCCUAACGAGUGGGCGUCCGGCGGAAACUACAGGGCUUGGGACCGGAAGACUUGAGGGGUACGUCUGGGGUAGGAGUGAAAUCCUGUAAUCCUGGACGGACCGCCGAUAGCGAAAGCACCUCAAGACGACGGAUCCGACAGUGAGGGACGAAAGCUAGGGUCUCGAACCGGAUUAGAUACCCGGGUAGUCCUAGCUGUAAACGAUGUUCGCUAGAUGUGGCACAGGCUACGUGCCUGUGCUGUGUCGUAGGGAAGCCGAGAAGCGAACCGCCUGGGAAGUACGUCCGCAAGGAUGAAACUUAAAGGAAUUGGCGGGGGAGCACUACAACCGGAGGAGCCUGCGGUUUAAUUGGAUUCUCGCCGGAA